CCUACGGGAGGCAGCAGUGAGGAAUAUUGGUCAAUGGACGGAAGUCUGAACCAGCCAUGCCGCGUGCAGGAAGACGGCUCUAUGAGUUGUAAACUGCUUUUGUACAAGGGUAAACCUGAAUACGUGUAUUCAGCUGAAAGUACUGUACGAAUAAGGAUCGGCUAACUCCGUGCCAGCAGCCGCGGUAAUACGGAGGAUCCAAGCGUUAUCCGGCUUUCUUGGGUUUAAGGGGUGCGUAGGCGGAUGGAUAAGUUAGAGGUGAAAGGUCCGGGCUUAACGCGGGAACUGCCCCUACUACCGUGGAGCGAGAGAGUAGAUGCGGGAGGCGGAAGGUAUGGUGUAGCGGUGAAAUGGUGAGAG
rnacentral:rRNA from 1 species